GACACUUUUCGCCACAACUAACGUUAAAAUUGCACGAAAUUUUUUUUUAGCCCAAAGACACGCCUCUCCCAAAUCGAAGGUGCCUUCUCUACCCUAGCAUGUGUUUCUCUUUCAAGUUAGAGGAGGUCCAAAUCGGGGUUUCUGAAACCUGCGUUUCAAAUCAGAGGAGGUACCAAAUCAGGGUUCCAAAUCAUUUUAUUUGGAUUCGAUAGAGGAGGUGGAUUUGUUAAUGCUAAUUGUUCGAUUCAGGUGUGGGGAUAGUGCAUGAAGCGACCUAAGGCUGUGGAGAAGAGAAUGUAGCGAAAGGAGUGUCUCUGUUGUUUAUGUUGAGAAGAAUUGCUAAUUGUCUACUUAAUUUAGAUAAUUGUUGGAGCUAAGAAGGUAUUUCAAGCCAAAUAAAGUUUGAGGUUUAGUUGUAAGGCUAGAAUUGUUAAUUUCCGUAAGAACGAUGUAAUAGAUGAUUAAAAUGUGUUUGGAUGUUUCUUUCCAAAUUGUGGAACAUGUAAGUACUUUAAAGUAAAUUACGAUGUAUUAAUGUUUAGUAUGUAGAAUCCGAUAAAUAAGGCAUUCGGUAUACCCAUCGUAUAACCCAAGUAAUCGAGAUUAUACGAGAAGUUACCGUGCAGUGUAAUUACCCCUAGGGAAGGAUUUGGUGGUGCCCAGCUAUUUAAGAUCCCAUUCUUGAGCUGUGAAUUUGUCAUCGUAUAACCCAGAUGUUGAUAUGUUAACACACAAUCUCAUAUGGAUCAUGGGGUAUGUAAAAUCCAUGAUUUCACAUGAAUCAUGCACAUCAAUCUUAGUAUUUGGGAUAACUCGAACAAAAAAUACUGAAAUUUUUACC